GAUUAACGCUAGCGGCAGGCCUAACACAUGCAAGUCGAGGGGCAGCAUAUUUAAUAGUUUACUAUUAGAUGAUGGCGACCGGCGGACGGGUGCGUAACGCGUAUGCAACCUACCUAUUACAGAGGGAUAAUCUGGAGAAAUUUGGUUUAAUACCUCAUAAUACAAUUAUUGGCAUCAAUGGUUGUUAAAAUUUUCGGAGGUAAUAGAUGGGCAUGCGUGACAUUAGUUAGAUGGUAGGGUAACGGCCUACCAUGACUACGAUGUCUAGGGGAACUGAGAGGUUUAUCCCCCACACUGGUACUGAGACACGGACCAGACUCCUACGGGAGGCAGCAGUGAGGAAUAUUGGUCAAUGGACGGAAGUCUGAACCAGCCAUGCCGCGUGCGGGAUGACGGCUCUAUGAGUUGUAAACUGCUUUUAUAAUGGAUUAAAGUUAUGUACGCGUACAUAUUUGCACUUACAUUAGGAAUAAGGAUCGGCUAACUCCGUGCCAGCAGCCGCGGUAAUACGGAGGAUCCGAGCGUUAUCCGGAUUUAUUGGGUUUAAAGGGUGCGUAGGUUGCCUAAUAAGUUGGUGGUUAAAUACAAUAGCUCAACUAUUGGAUUGCCAACAAAACUAUUAAGCUAGAGAUUGAUUGCAGCAGGCGGAAUGUGUAGUGUAGCGGUGAAAUGCAUAGAUAUUACACAGAACACCGAUUGCGAAGGCAGCUUGCUAAAUCAUAUCUGACACUGAUGCACGAAAGCGUGGGUAUCAAACAGGAUUAGAUACCCUGGUAGUCCACGCUGUAACGAUGAUAACUGGUUGUUGGCGAUAUACAGUCAGUA
rnacentral:rRNA from 1 species